AUUGAACGCUGGCGGCAGGCCUAACACAUGCAAGUCGAGCGGAGCGGCGGACGGGUGAGUAAUGCCUAGGAAUCUGCCUGGGCGUGGGGGAUAACGUCCGGAAACGGGCGCUAAUACCGCAUACUAUCAGAUGAGCCUAGGUCGGAUUAGAUAGGUGGUGGGGUAAAGGCUAACCAAGGCGACGAACCGUAACUGGUCUGAGAGGAUGAUCAGUCACACUGGAACGUAGACACGGUCCAGACUCCUACGGGAGGCAGCAGUGGGGAAUAUUGGACAAUGGGCGAAAGCCUGAUGCAGCCAUGCCGCGUGUGUGAAGAAGGUCUGCGGAUUGUAAAGCACUUUAAGUUGGGAGGCGUUACCAACAGAAUAAGCACCGGCUAACUUCGUGCCAGCCGCCGCGGUAAUAC
rnacentral:rRNA from 1 species